rnacentral:rRNA from 1 species
GUUAGCAGCUAUAUCACCCUGUAGCUCACAACUGGCAACCCACUGAAGUUCAGCAGGUAUGACCCUGGUCAGUACCUGGAUGGGAGACCUCCAGAGAAAUCCGUGGUUACUGUUGGAA